GACGUAGGGGCCAGCGUUGUUCGGAAUUACUGGGUGUAAAGGGUUCGUAGGCGGUGUGGCAAGUCGGGAGUGAAAUCUCUGGGCUCAACUCAGAGACUGCUUCCGAAACUGCUGUGCUGGAGUGUGGGAGAGGCGCGUGGAAUUGCAGGUGUAGCGGUGAAAUGCGUAGAUAUCUGCAGGAACACCCGUGGCGAAAGCGGCGCGCUGGACCACUACUGACCGCUGAGGAACGAAAGCUAGGGGAGCAAACAGG
rnacentral:rRNA from 1 species